UUUCGGUUGAUCCUGCCGGAGGUUGCUGCUAUUUGGAUACCACUUAGCCAUGCAAGUCAAGGGGACUUCGGUCACCGGCGAAAUGCUCAGUAACACGUCGAUAAUCUGCCCUUAGGUCUUGGACAGCUUCGGGAAACUGGAGGUAAACCAGGAUAGAAGAUUGGUACUGGAAUGUCCUUUCUUUGAAAUCUCCGGAGCCUAAGGAUGAGUCGGCGGCUGAUUAGGCUGUUGGUGAGGUAAUGGCUCACCAAACCGAUGAUCAGUAGGGGCUUUGAGAGAAGUAGCCCCGAGAAGGGCACUGAGAAAAGGGCCCUAGCCCUACGGGGUGCAGCAGGCGGGAAACCUUUACACUGUACGAAAGUGCGAUAAGGGUAUCCUGAGUGCUUACACUUUGUGUAAGCUUUUGCCAAGAGUAAAUAUCUUGGCGAAUAAGUGAUGGGAAAGACUGGUGCCAGCCGCCGCGGUAACACCAGCGUCACAAGUGGCAACCGUGUUUAUUGGGUCUAAAGCGUCCGUAGCCUGUUUUAUCAGUUCUUUGUGAAAUCAUUAACGUUAACUUAAUGGCGUGCAAAGAAUACUGAUUUAACUUGGGACUGGGAGAGGUCAGAGGUAUUCCUGGGGAAGCGGUAA
rnacentral:rRNA from 1 species